rnacentral:rRNA from 1 species
CACGUAGGGUGCGAGCGUUGUCCGGAAUUAUUGGGCGUAAAGAGCUCGUAGGCGGUCUGUCGCGUCGGAUGUGAAAAUCCAGGGCUCAACCCUGGACCUGCAUUCGAUACGGGCAGACUAGAGUUCGGUAGGGGAGACUGGAAUUCCUGGUGUAGCGGUGAAAUGCGCAGAUAUCAGGAGGAACACCGGUGGCGAAGGCGGGUCUCUGGGCCGAAACUGACGCUGAGGAGCGAAAGCGUGGGGAGCAAACAGG